UCACUACACUCCAAAAAGAAAAACAACAAACAUGGUGGGCAGCGAGUGUGAUGAGAGAAAAGUACAACCUUGGGACGCUGAGGAAGUGCAGGCUCUAGUUUCACUGUGGCAGAUAGAAGUGUUCAGGAAGAUCUGGAGUCUUGCGUCAGAAAUGAGAAAGUUUAUGCCCGAAUUUGUGACGGUUUGAAGCAAAUGGACGUAAACCACGGUGGAAAAACAACCCAGGCUCCCCUGAACAGCACCGUGAGGGCUCGGUAUGGCCCUGGCAGGGCUUGGUUGUACAGUGGAAAAGAGGUAUUACAUCCUACAUACUGGAAUUAAAUGCAAAGCAGCCAGAGACCUGGCCCCUGGGUCACAAGUAAUCACUAGCUGAGCUGUUAUAAAUAUCUCUUGGCUCUAUAUAAUUGCUCAUAGGUACAGUACUUUACCAGUAAUGACUUUAGGUUGUAUUAGACUGUGCCAAGAAGCCCCAGAUGUAGACACCUUGACAGGAUAAUAAAGGACAGACUGAUCUUCACCAAGAUCACUAUUUCCAGGAAUGUACGACACAUUCUUGGAUUUUGUUUGAUUUCUUUUAGUUGUAUUUCUUUUUUUAAAUGUAUUUAUUGUAUCCUUGUCCAUAUGGUUUAUAAGUGUUACACUCUACAGGCUGUACUUGGAGAAUCUUCCACCAAACAAUGCACCAAAUGUUCCUUGCUAUCCUGGGAUCAAAAGGGUUUAAAUGUUGAAGGCGUACAAUUACAGAUUUCCCUGUUGAAUUCUGAUUUCACCUUGCUUGUUUCCUUAGAAAUGCAUAGUCUGUGCAGUGAAUUGUGAUUAAACUCAGCAUUAGCUCUUAAGGUAGCUCUAAGGAAAUGUCACAUGUAGGUGAUGAAUCAGUUGCAUGUGCUAGUUUUGAGAUAAGCAGCUUUUAACUGUGGAAGUUAAAUGCCAUGAUUGAUUCUUAAUUGUAAAGGUGAGGGAAAGGCAGCUUUUCUUGUUGUGAAAUGAACACAUUUAUUAAUAGGCUUGUUUGGUUUCAUUUGAUACCUGCAGACAAAAAAAAAAAAACAUCUUAAAGGGAAUUACUCCAAGUAUCUGCACAUCCCUAGUUCUUUUCAUAUAUUUAGUGUAACUUACUGAUUGCUAAUGGGUAAGGCUGUAUUUUUUUCACAGUAAUCAUCGAUUUCACGAUUUCUGUGAAAUGUACCUAUUGCCAUUUAAUAUGUCGUUCCCCGUGAAAAUUUGAAUUUCUGAAAGAAUAGUGUCAAUAUUAGAGUUUUGCAUCACCUAAAAUUUUAGGAUUGAGACAUGAUCCAAAAAAAAAAAAAGUAGAGGAACAUCAUUUAGAUCUUUUAUUUAACACCAUUUAAUCAAAGAAACUACAAAAUAAUAUUUCAAAAGUCUACCGGAAGCCAUAAUAGUAGUACUGUAUUUAAUUUUUCUCAGUUUUUCGUUAAAUAUAUGGAAAACUACAAAGCGGUGUGUAAUUCAAUAUGUAACAUAACAUAAUUCAGCGUGUUUCAUUCAACUCUAUGAUCCAAAAUGAGUUAUUUUAUAGGAUGAUGCAAAACUUUUGGCCAUAGCUGUAUAGAUAGAUAGAUAGAUAGAUAGAUAGAUAGAUAGAUAUAAUCACUUAAAAAUAAAUACACCAAACGAUUGCCUUAUUGACACACUACCUGUCACUGCAUUUAGGAACCUGGCAGCCAGUUUAGUUUGCUUCCGGUAAAUGAUUGCACAAUUUGCACAAAAAAUUGCUGCACAAUUUUUUGUGAUUCAACAUUUACUGUUUUAUCAGUUAAGCAUUUCAAUAUUUAGGAACAUUUGUUGUAAAUAACUCUAGAGAAAAUGAUACAUUUUGAAUGUGACAAUGCUAUUUUUUUCUGCUUUAAUAUUGGAUGUUGUGUUUUUGUAAAUAAAGUUUGCUGUAUUUUGAAUUUGAAUUUGGCAGGGAUGGGGUGAAAAUCCCAUCCUUGUGGAAUCCAUGUGCAGAAUGUGAUCAAGCUGGAUAGGCAAUGAAUGAAUGAAUCUCGCUUGAUGACAGAUCUAGGAGGAGAUGUGGUGAGAAGCAUGAGUUAGUUUGUUAAGACAUAGGGCUGAGAGGAGCAGGUUGCGCUCUCUGUCCUGCACCGAGCUAGCCUUUGCUUGAGUGCUGUUUAGUUUUGUUUAACUGUUUAUUACGUUUGUUUUGUAAAUGUUAAACGUGUGCUACCUAGCCCUGACUGCAACACUACUCUUCCACAAUGGCCAGUCAUGACAUUUUACCACGUUUUCUCCCCAACAUUUUUUUAACCAAUUCUUGUGCGCUAAUUUUACUUGCUUUGUUUCUCCAAAGGUGAUUAAAUGUACCGUAAUUGUUUAUUAAGUUUCCUUAAAUUGUUACAGAACCCCUAGCAGUGUUUACAAGAAGCAUGUUACAUCACUGUUGCUAUAUAUCCUGUGUUGUCCAUACCACAUUCAGUCCCAAUAGUUUAGAUUUUUUGUGUAUAUUCACACAGAAUGGGUAAAUAAACUAGUGAAUUUGUUAUUUUCAUUUUUUACUAAAGACAUUUGCCAGGAGAAAGAUUUUUUCUUCUAUAUAUUGUGGCGUAUCCAGUUCAUGUUCCCUAAUGCAACAAUGCUGGUGCUCUUAUGAGUGGCGUAUUGAGGGAACAGAACAUGAUCUGGAUAUUCUGUGUUCUUUAGAAUCCUUUUUUUUUUCUCCUGGUGAACACUAUUGAGUAAAUGUUGAGAAAAGAUAAGGUAAUGUGUUUUUUGUAAACUUUGUAGGGUGUUCUGUUCCACUUUAAGAUUCAGUCAUUGUACUUUAUGUUACUUGUAUUUUGUUCAGCAUCCCGUUCAGUUACAGUUCAUUAUAUAAUAGCAUGAGUGUAUGAGAGAAUAAUUCCAAAUUAAAGCUUAUUACAUAGAACUUG